AUGCAACUGGACCCAUCAAGCUCCUCUCAAAUGUUCGGAUGGACAACCCAGUCACUACCCAGUCCGGAAAAAAGUCACUCAAUUGGAUCCCGCAUAGCCAACCCAAAUGUCCGCACUGAUCGGCACUCCUUCAAACGCAGCCCAUAUGUGGGGCGAGUAUACAGACGCCCGGCCCGUCCUAUCUCAAAUCCGCUCCAAAUUGAUCGCCUCUCUCCCACCUCAGUCCUCCCUUUCCCGCGUUUGAGCCAUCUCCCUCCUCCACCCUUGCUCCAUGUUCGCGCCGUCGUUCUUUGUCCACUGCCUGAUUCCGUGAUCCUAGAUGUUGACACUGAGUACCCCAUCCCCCAUCACUGCCAUGGAAGAUGCCUCGGCGAAGUCUAUGAGCGCCCCGGCUGUCCCAACUUGGAGAAGCAAGAGAAAUAUGCAAAAAAGAGAGCAUGGAAAUGCGACGACAAUGCAAGGAAUCGAGCUCAAGAGAGAGAAGUUGAUGCUUGCGAGGGAAACUGA
rnacentral:rRNA from 1 species